rnacentral:rRNA from 1 species
AUUGAACGCUGGCGGCAGGCCUAACACAUGCAAGUCGAGCGGAUGAAGGGAGCUUGCUCCUGGAUUCAGCGGCGGACGGGUGAGUAAUGCCUAGGAAUCUGCCUGGUAGUGGGGGAUAACGUCCGGAAACGGGCGCUAAUACCGCAUACGUCCUGAGGGAGAAAGUGGGGGAUCUUCGGACCUCACGCUAUCAGAUGAGCCUAGGUCGGUUUAGCUAGUUGGUGGGGUAAAGGCCUACCAAGGCGACGAUCCGUAACUGGUCUGAGAGGAUGAUCAGUCACCCGGGAACUGAGACACGGUCCAGACUCCUACGGGAGGCAGCAGUGGGGAAUAUUGGACAAUGGGCGAAAGCCUUGUCCAGCCAUGCCGCGUGUGUGAAGAAGGUCUUCGGAUUGUAAAGCACUUUAAGUUGGGAGGAAGGGCAGUAAGUUAAGACCUUGCUGUUUUGACGUUACCAACAGAAUAAGCACCGGCUAACUUCGUG